AACCUUGCCAUUAAAAAUGAGUACUGGGAGCAUGCAUUGAUACUGGACAGCUUUUUUAGGAAAGCCUCAUGUGUCCCAUCCAUAACGAGGUUCAUCAGCAGUCUGGAUGAUUCUGACCCAAUGAAGACAUACUACCAUGUCUUUCUAGGGCAAAUUCCAAGAGUUGCUUCUCAUGAUUAAAUCUGAAUGUUAUGUCCCUGUGGGGACCUGAGCUGGAGAGAGUGGUGCCCCCAUCUGGCCAUCCUCUUGGCCAAUUCCAUCUGCCCUCAAGUCCAGAAUGUGAUGGUCAACAUGCUGGCUAAUACUCUUGCAAGGAAUGGGCACAUGUGGUCUGCUCAUUUCUGUUAUAUGGCCAUGCGCAUAGAGCCUAGUUACUAUCAUCGGGACUCUAAGCUGACACUGAUUGGACAGGACUUCAGCAUGCCAUUGAAGGAGUUUGUAUGCAAUGCUGCAAUACAACGAACUGAGGCAUAUGAGUACCUUUUGUCUUUCAACACAGGGAAUCAAUGUUUACGUAUCCAGGUAUACUUGUAACCUUUUUUCAGUCAAAGUUAAUGCACAAAUAUGAAUACAUUU